UCCUUAGUAGCUCAGUGGUAGAGCGGUCGGCUGUUAACCGAUUGGUCAUAGGUUCAAUCCCUAUCUAAGGAG